rnacentral:misc_RNA from 1 species
AACGCAUAUUGCGCCCAUUGGUAUUCCGAUGGGCAUGCCUGUUCGAGCGUCAUUUCACCCCUCAAGUAUCUUAUACUUGGUGUUGGAGCUCUCUAUAGUGGUCAACGCUAUAGGCUCUGAAAGAAAUUGGCGGGAGUUUAGUGAACCCGGAUGUAGUAAAACUACUUUUCAUCUAGGGCCUUCUCUAAAUCUCUAGCCGUUAAGCACUCAAAACUUUUACAAGUUGACCUCGGAUCAGGUAGGAAUACCCGCUGAACUUAA